UACGGGGGGAUGCAAGCGUUAUCCGGAAUUAUUGGGCGUAAAGGGUCCUGAGGUGGCUAGCCAAGUCUAUUGUGAAAUAUCAGGGCUUAACCCUGAACAUGCGGUGGAAACUAGAAAGCUUGAGUACAGUAGGGGCGGAGGGAAUUUCCGGUGGAGCGGUGAAAUGCAUAGAUAUCGGGAAGAACACCAACGGCGAAAGCACUCCGCUGGGCUGAUACUGCACUGACAGACGAAAAGCUAGGGGAGCGAAUGGG
rnacentral:rRNA from 1 species